UAAUACGUAGGGUGCGAGCGUUGUUCGGAAUUACUGGGCGUAAAGGGCGCGCAGGCGGAAUAGCAAGUCGGAAGUGAAAGCCCGGGGCUCAACCCCGGAGGGUCUUUCGAAACUGCUAAUCUAGAGAGGGUCAGGGGCCAGCAGAAUUCUUGGUGUAGAGGUGAAAUUCGUAGAUAUCAAGAGGAAUACCGGUGGCGAAGGCGGCUGGCUGGGGCCACUCUGACGCUGAGGCGCGAAAGCGUGGGGAGCAAACAGGAUUAGAUACCCUGGUAGUCCACGCCGUAAACGAUGAGCACUGGAUGUCCGGAGGGUUCGACCCUUCUGGGUGUCUCAGCUAACGCAUUAAGUGCUCCGCCUGGGGAGUACGGUCGCAAGACUA
rnacentral:rRNA from 1 species